UACGGAGGGUGCAAGCGUUAAUCGGAAUUACUGGGCGUAAAGCGUGCGCAGGCGGUUUGUUAAGUCUGUUGUGAAAUCCCCGAGCUCAACUUGGGAAUUGCAAUGGAUACUGGCAGGCUGGAGUAUGGUAGAGGAAGGUGGAAUUCCCGGUGUAGCAGUGAAAUGCGUAGAGAUCGGGAGGAACACCGGUGGCGAAGGCGGCUUGCUGGGCCUUACCUGACGCUGAGGAGCGAAAGCGUGGGGAGCGAACAGG
rnacentral:rRNA from 1 species